rnacentral:rRNA from 1 species
GAUGAACGCUGGCGGCGUGCCUAAUACAUGCAAGUCGAGCGAACAGACGAGGAGCUUGCUCCUCUGACGUUAGCGGCGGACGGGUGAGUAACACGUGGAUAACCUACCUAUAAGACUGGGAUAACUUCGGGAAACCGGAGCUAAUACCGGAUAAUAUAUUGAACCGCAUGGUUCAAUAGUGAAAGACGGUUUUGCUGUCAACUCUAGAUGGAUCCGCGCCGCAUUAGCUAGUUGGUAAGGUAACGGCUUACCAAGGCGACGAUGCGUAGCCGCCCUGAGAGGGUGAUCGGCCACACUGGAACUGAGACACGGUCCAGACUCCUACGGGAGGCAGCAGUAGGGAAUCUUCCGCAAUGGGCGAAAGCCUGACGGAGCAACGCCGCGUGAGUGAUGAGGGUCUUCGGAUCGUAAAACUCUGUUAUUAGGGAAGAACAAAUGUGUAAGUAACUAUGCACGUCUUGACGGUACCUAAUCAGAAAGCCACGGCUAACUACGUG